CAAACAAACAAAAAUAAGCCCCACAAAAACAUAACAAAACAACUAGGAAACAAUGUUUCAUCUGGGCAAUAGUUACUUAAAAUUUACUGUGUCUAUUGUAUGACAUAUAAAUAAGAUUAAUUCUUUACCUACUUUAGAUGUAAGGAGGAAUGUAUUUAAUAUUUCUGAUGUGUUAGAAGAACAACUGCAAGUUUUUCAUUGACCCAGUAAGCAUGGCUUGCCUAAGUCCAAUUACUUGCCAUAUUGUAGGUGAUGUAUUGUAUUUGCACAGCUUGGUUUUUUGGUAGCAGGUGGGCUACAGAGGUGGCUUCUGUGAGAAGCUGCCAGAAGCUUCCACCAUAUCAAGCAGAGCCAAUCCCUGGUCAGUCCGAAGAUAGACAUGUUGCUCGCCAAAUCUGAAAUGGUGGUAAAGCCUCUGUGAUAACAUAUUCAAGAAGAAAUCAAAACCAAAGUUAUUGUGCAGUUGUAAUUGCAGCCAGAUAAGAGCAGAGUGAGAAGAUGUGAGAACAACCACCCUGUGGACACCAGGGCCUGUGAGGAAGGAGGGGCAGGAGAUGUUCCAGGUGCCGAGAUUCCCCUGCAGCCCAUGGUGAGACAGCCCAUGGUGAGACAGCCCUGCCCCUGCAGCCCGUGGAGAUCCAUGGGGAAUGCAGAGAUCCAUCUGCAGCCCAUGGAGGACCCCAUGCUGGAGCAGGUGGAUGCCUGAGAGGAGGCUGUGACCCCAUGGGAGACCCAUGGAGAGAGGGGCCCUGCUCCCAGGCUGGAGCAGCCUGUCCUUGGAGGACUGCACCCCGUGGAAGUGUGAGCCACAGCACUCAAGUGUGAGCUGCAGCACUCUGGGGAGGACUGCUGCCUUCUUCACACUGCAGAAGUUCAUGGAGAUCUGUCUCCCGUGGGAGGGGACCCCACGGUGCAGCAGGGGAAGGACUCCUCUCCCUGAGCAGUGGGAGAAGCCACAGGUCCUGAGCUGACCUAACCCCUGUUCCCUGCCUCUGUGCCACUGGGGGAGGAGAUGGAGGUGGGAAGCAGGGAGGGGUGGGGGAAAGGUGUUUUUAAGGGUUUCUUUUACUUCUCAUUGUCCUGCUCUGAUAUUUUUUAGUAAUGAAUUCACUUCACAUCUCUAAGGUGAGCCAGUUUUCCCUGUGAUGGUAUUUGGUGGGGGAUCUUUCCCAGUCCCUUAUCUCAACCCAUGAACCCUGUGUUAAAUUUUCUCUCCUCUGGACAAUUUGCAGAGGGGAGUGAGUGAGCAGCUUUGGUGGGUGCCUGGCACCAGUGUCAACCCACAAGAGGUAUUUUCACCAUGAUUCUUCUCUCUGUUCUACAGGUGCUGUUAUGGAUACUUUGCAGGUAAAUACGCACUUUGGCUUGUAUUGCAUACCUGCUGAAUUCUGUACUUCAUUUUCUGACAGAACAGGCAUCUACUGGCUACAAUAAACCUUGCUCCCUGGUGACGUCAAGCACGCCUCCAGAAAGGCAUAGAAUCAUAGAAUCUAUAUUGGAAAAGACCUUUAAGAUCAUCCAGUCAUAACACUGCCAAGUCCAUCACUAAAAUGAGUGCCUCAGUACUAUGUCUACAUAUAUUUUAAACACCUCCACGGGCAGUGACUCAACUACUUCCUGUGCAGACUCAUCUAUACUUGACAAUCCUUUCUGUGAAGAAAUUUUUCAUAAUAUCCAAUCUCAACCUUCCCUGGAGCAACCUGAGUACUUCUUCUUUUAUUCUAUUAUUUGGAAGAAGAAGCUACAUCUGGCUACAGCCUUCUUUCAGCUUCCUAGGUGCUGGCCUGGGCUGUUUUAAGCCAGUGUGGACCCACAUCCUACUGUGCAACUUUGUGAGAAUGUACCUUGCCUUCAUUCACCUCUGACUUUUCUGGGAAACUGGUAGAAACUAGUGGAAAUGAUCAGCAAGAGGUAAAAGAUUCUUACGGGGUCUUGACUCAAAAAUGUCACAGUCACAGUGAUGAAGCAGCUUAGAGGGAAAAUUAUUCUGACAAAAGUAUUAUAUUCUUCUAUGAAUACUCUUAGUUCAUUCCUGUUGUGGAUUUCGUAUCUCUCUCUGGCUUAGGCAAAUAGAGAGUACACUACAGAGCCUAUAAUCGGGUAUUACAGACUUAAAAUUAUUCUAAUUUCUUUAAACUCUUUCUGAUCAGUGACUUUAAUUUCCAAUUGCUCAACUGAAUAGUUAAAAAUAUAAGUGUUAGGGUAUAGGCUGUAUUGGUUUUUUUUCUUGUUUCAGUUGGAGACUAAAAUAAAGGCUCCCCAUUUCUUUCCUGUUGCUGUUCUAAGCUUCUCCUUCCCCUUCAGGAAGAAUACUGUAUAUCAGCUCAAGUGACAAGACCAGUGAAACCCAUUCAUGAAACCCACUGCAGACUUUUCUUUAAUUGGAUUAGGAGCUUCCAUGAGGACAGAGAAGAAGAGGAAGAAAGUGAUCUCGUAUAACCAAUUUAACCAACAAGUGAUGAAGCCCUUCCUACUAGAAAACAUUGUAAUUGAGGUGCUUGAGCUGCAGAAAAGAGAGUCACAGAAUCACUAGGAUGGAAGAGACCUUUAAGAUCAUCAAGUCCAACCAGAAAUGGGUCUGCAGCAAUUUUCUCAGAGAUCAUCCUGACUACUUAGAAUCCUUUGUAGAAAGGUGAGUGGUGGUCUAAGCACUAGGGUCCUAAAGGGUUAAAAAGAACAAGUAAAAUGAAAAAAGAAUAUUUUUUAUUAAAACAGAGCAGAAGAAUAAGAAAAUGUAUUUUGCUAUUUUGCCACUAUCUGUCAAAAACAUAUGCAAAUAAUCUUUCACUCUCCUCUGCAUGCAUAAUAGGACCUACACAAAAAUUCUCCCUACAUGAAAGACUAAAAAUGCACAAUUAAAGUCCUAGAAUAAAAUAAGUAAAGUAUCCAAAAGGAAUGGGUAGUGGCAUGGUUUCAUGCUGUACAGGUAUUGGAUCUGCUAGUACAAGUCUACAAAUCAGGUAGGAAGACCACUGACAUCACUACUGAAAUCAGGAAUGCUAGUGCAUCAGAUGUUCAUUAGUGAAAUGGGUCCAACUAUUUAAAAUGUUUGUCUUACAGCUGCAUUUUACAAAAGAGUGGGUUGAACAGGCAGCACAAGCAUGCUUCAUCCCCUUCAGAGUGAAAUUAGGCAGGUUUGCUUAACCUGGGGAUAAUGUAUUUAAAACAAAGUAGCUGCAAUGUAAUGGGUGACAUUUGCACAAUGCUCCACCAUGAUCCAUUCUGCCAGCUAGCUGGGGGUGGUUCCUUCCACAGAGCGCUGGUAACAAACAUGUAUGAGCCGCUGUAGUCAUGAGCAAACCCAGGCAUUUCUGUCGGAAAUAUUCCAGUGGAAAUUGUUUUGCAAGUGUCUAGUCUUGACUGUUCGUGUGAAGUCUGCCUCAUAAAACCCUGAAAAUUAAGCCUUCUGAUAAUGUUUUCAGAGUUUUAGUUACUUUCCUAUGAAAGUCCUGUAAACAUAAGUUGUUUAUCACAUUCCUUCUAAGAAAUGUCUUUUGACGGACAUUUCACAUGACUAGUGUGCUUGGGAAGGUGGUAACUUAAUUAUCCAAUCCCAGGUCAUUGUUGAGAAUCUAUAAACACUGGAGUCAGAGAAUAAAGAGACAGGUUUUUGUUCUGACACUGAGAAUGGUCGUGUGAAUCAUUUAGUGUCCUUCAGCAACUCUAUCCUUUUAGAACCGGCUACAUAGUAGUUUAAUAAAAACUCUCAUUAGGGAAUGACUUUUAAUGCUUUCCAACAAAGUAAGUUCAAGAUUCAGGCAGUGUCUGCACAUGUGUUUAUCAUACCUAUGUAAUUUUUGGACCUGUCUGAUCUUGGUGCUGCUCUCAUGGGCCUCCAGGAUAGAUUGUACUAGGCACAAUACUGUUUCAAUUUUACUGUAACUUUCCUCACAGCCCUGUUGUUAGUUGUCAUUAUAUUUAUGUUGCUGUCUAGAUUUAUAACCUGAUUUUGAAAAAUCACCUUGGCCCUUGAAACAAAUAGAAAAGCUCAUAAUUUGCUGUUUCUAGAAAAGUCCUAUAAUUUGUAGUAGAAAUUCCGUAAACAAUAAAGCAACUUGCAGAUUUCCCCUGCAACAUAACACUCUGUAUCAAUAAAUACUCUUGUGGAUUUAUAUCUGCUCCUUAUCUUUUAUAAUUGUAUUUUUUAAGACAUAUCAAUGUGACACCUUCUCUGACAUUUUUAGACAGUUUCAAUUUCCAUUAAUUUCAUAGUAGUCUCCACAAAGUAGAAAUACCUUUCUAGAUUUCACACAACCCCAUCGUUGUCAGUUUUACUGCAACCCAUUUUUUAGUUGGGUAAUUAGUAUGUUGAACGUGAUUUAUUCCUCAGUGAUUUUCCAUUCAGAAGUGUAAGGGUAUAUGAUCGGAGAAUCCCAACUCCAAAAACGCAAGCUGACGUUCUCUAUUGAUGUAAAUUGAUAGAGGUCUUUUGCAUAAAAUGUGCCCACUACAAGAAAUAUGUCAGUGCAGGAAAUAAUUCAGUGAAGGGAAAGUCUGGCUUUACCCAAAUUAAAUACACUUCUCUGAUGGGAUAGAUGUAUUUUAUCAAAAAGGGUAAUUGAAAUGAUAGGACACCAGAAGACUUAUUCAUAAUGUAUCUGUUCUCUGUUCAGUUCUCUGAACAGAUCUCUGUUUCAUUACAGGCAAUCAUUAGGAAAAUUUAUGCUAUAUGAUUCAUCAUAUAACAUACACCAUCAUAUUGCACAUUAUCAUAUAUAGAAGCAGCAUUAGCAGCGUGUUUCAUCAUUUGCAAAUGCUGAAAUUACUGACAUCCUGCAUGUGUUUUUAGACCAGACUUUUGCUACAUGAGCCUAAGAGUGUAUUAAUGGGACAAAUUUGAUAAGAGGUUGUGUAUUAAAUUGGCUGUCUCCAUACCUUUAGAUACUCUGAGCCUUUCAACAUGUCACUACUGUCUCAGAAAUGCCCCCCUGGGAGCAUUUGAGAGUCUCUCUCUUCUACUUAAUUUCUGAUUGAAAAUGUAAGUGAAAACUUAAGUGAACAUGGCUCAGCUUUGAAUUAAGUUUGUGAAAAAUACUAAACAUAUAUAUCUCUAAAUCCUAUUUUUGUGACUGAGAAAGGAGAAGCUUUGAGAUUCACUGAUACUGAAUGGGAAUGCACAUGGGAAUGAGCUAGAUCACUCUCCAACACAUCCUCAUCCUCCUCAUUUAGAGGUAGUCUAUAAUCCUUAUAGUAGUUGUUACCUACCAUCAAAGCAUCCGGGAAAACAAAAGAAAACAGGGAAGAAAUUCUGGGGAGUUUUUUAGCCUCCUGCAUGUAUUUCUAGAGUUUGCCUAAGCCUUCCUCCACUUCUUAAGGAAUAUACCUCUCAGAAUUAGAAACAAAAUAUCUAUCUUUGUUACUGAGUUGUCUUUAUGGCAAACAUUCCUGUUGCUUUCUCUAUGCUUAAGAAGUUUGAAGUGCUCUCUGUGAAGUCUGAUGAUGCCAAUUCAAUCAGGAUCUCAUUCAAACAAACAAAUUCAAGAGUUUAAUUAAAAUCUAAAAGUGACCCUUUCCUUUAGAAAAAGUAACAUUUAAUAAUAAGUCUCUUAUUCUAGUCUUCUGCUUAUUCCUUAGGCUAUAAUGGUAUAUCUGCUUUCUUGACUUCAGUCUUACAGUACUUCUGGUUGCUUUUUCCUCUUUUUUUACAUGUUGCAGUUCUUUGAAAAGUCUCUAUAAAAACCUUUCUCUUUUAGCUUAUAUGAAGCCCAGCUGACAAAUACUGGAAUCACUCCAGAGCAUUUUUUUAUGUCCCCUGUGUAGUCUGUAAUAAUAAAAUGAUCUCUCUGGCAGUUCUUCUGUUCUUGCCUUCCAACUAGUCCUCCAUCACUGAUUUCACCUCCCCUUUACAAGAACCACUCUUCAGUGGUGCUCAGUGAAGAAUGACCUUGUCAGACCAAACCCAUGCAUUUGCCAUAUAAAAUACUUAGUAUGCCAAGAACUCCACAUCCACUUCAAUACAAAGUACAGCAGCUUCUCCAGUACAUAUUUAUUUGCUUAAAUUAAUACAAUACAUCAUGCAUGCUUUUACUAUUGAGAUAGAAAGCUGGAAAUGAAAGAUUCACAAAUAAAGUUGGUUCACUUCAUGAGCAGUGGCUUUAAAUAGGAACUCGAUGUUCUAAGUGAAAUAAAUAUGCAACACAGUAUUUGCAAAAUCUGUUAGGAGUACAAAAUGUUAGCUCUGUUACAUCUUGUUCAGCUAAGCAGACAUGACAUUUUCAAAACUGUUAAUUAUUAAAACUUCUAGGAAUAAUAAAUACAGUACUUAUAUUACCUCUUAACUGUACACUCAAAACAGCAGAGUCCAGCAGCACCAUAUGAAGAAAGAAGUCAAAGAAUAGGUAGUAGACAAACACAGAAUUGUAAAAACAUGGGGUGCAGUAGCAUUACUUGGUCUUUCCAGUAUCUUUUUUUACAGGAAACAGCACAGGAUAAACUUUAAUUAUGAU